GCUCCCAUGGCGUAGUGGUCACUGCGCUCGCCUUGCACGCGGGAGACCCGGGUUCGAUUACCGGCGGAGGGCA
rfam:Asian citrus Psyllid, Diaphorina citri - Florida Strain, whole genome shotgun sequence.